GGCUUUAUAUUCAACGAUGAUUUUAGACUGCAAUUCUAAAGGUGUAUUAGAUUACUAAGGCCU
rnacentral:tRNA from 2 species